rnacentral:rRNA from 1 species
GGUCAGCUUGCUCCUGUUGUUAGCGGCGGACGGGUGAGUAACACGUGGGUAACCUGCCUGUAAGACUGGGAUAACUCCGGGAAACCGGGGCUAAUACCGGAUGCUUGAUUGAACCGCAUGGUUCAAUUAUAAAAGGUGGCUUUUAGCUACCACUUACAGAUGGACCCGCGGCGCAUUAGCUAGUUGGUGAGGUAACGGCUCACCAAGGCAACGAUGCGUAGCCGACCUGAGAGGGUGAUCGGCCACACUGGGACUGAGACACGGCCCAGACUCCUACGGGAGGCAGCAGUAGGGAAUCUUCCGCAAUGGACGAAAGUCUGACGGAGCAACGCCGCGUGAGUGAUGAAGGUUUUCGGAUCGUAAAACUCUGUUGUUAGGGAAGAACAAGUACCGUUCGAAUAGGGCGGUACCUUGACGGUACCUAACCAGAAAGCCACGGCUAACUACGUGCCAGCAGCCGCGGUAAUACGUAGGUGGCAAGCGUUGUCCGGAAUUAUUGGGCGUAAAGCGCGCGCAGGCGGUUUCUUAAGUCUGAUGUGAAAGCCCCCGGCUCAACCGGGGAGGGUCAUUGGAAACUGGGGAACUUGAGUGCAGAAGAGGAGAGUGGAAUUCCACGUGUAGCGGUGAAAUGCGUAGAGAUGUGGAGGAACACCAGUGGCGAAGGCGACUCUCUGGUCUGUAACUGACGCUGAGGCGCGAAAGCGUGGGGAGCGAACAGGAUUAGAUACCCUGGUAGUCCACGCCGUAAACGAUGAGUGCUAAGUGUUAGAGGGUUUCCGCCCUUUAGUGCUGCAGCAAACGCAUUUAAGCACUCGCUGGGGGAGUACGGUCGCAGACUGAACUCA